rnacentral:lncRNA from 1 species
UCACUCCGUGUGUAGUACGUCUAAACAAUAUAUGAGUGUAACAUUUUGAAUUAAACUAAAUUUUUUAAGUGAAUCUAAAAAGUAUAUAUACAAAUAUAUAUAAAGAUAUAUACAUUUAGACCACAUGAGUCUGGCCCGUAGGUCUGUGGCCUUUAAAAAAGUUACAUAAAGGGUUAAAAUAAUCUAUUUUCUAUAAGAUAUACAGCUAUGUUUCUCGUUUUUGAGUAAGAAAGCUUUACAAAGAAGCAUGUAUAGUUUACAACGUUUAACAUCGUUUAAUAACAGCUAAGGAAGAGAGUAGUAUACUGUGGGCGAGUGGAGGGCGGAGUGUGUAUGUGAGGCUGGCUAACCGUGGAGCUAACCGAUGAGCUAACAGGGAAGACGUGUUGGGAUUUACUGCUCUCUGUGUCGUUUUUGUCCUUUUUUGUUAAUAAAGAGUGGUUGGAUUUACUAACGCCGUGAAGAAAUGUAUGCGGGGACUGUGUGGCCGGGUGCAUCAGCACGAAACAAGGGGGAAAAACUGCGAUUCUGAGUGAUUAAUGCGUCGAAAUCUUCAGACGACGUUUGUCGGCUUCAUUCUACUGAGCAGCAAGGUUCAGUCCUAAAACAUCAAAAAAGGUUGAUCUUUGAGCAGAUUCCAAUGAUGCAAAACUGGAUUGUACACAUAUUAAGGUAAAUCAGCUUUUUUAUAUAGAGCUCUUUGCAGAAGGUACAGAGGUAUGGCUUUAUCCACAAGA